CACACAGAGAAUUGCAUCUCAACAAAACUGACAUUAGUACCCGAACUACAUUUCAGUCACUCAGUAACGCGAUAAUUCGAAAUAUUAUCGUCAACAGCCACUGCGUCUUUAGACUGUCUUCGUCAGACGAGAGACGCAGUUCCAACCCCGAUUACUGGUUUCUGUACGUAUCUAUCCACUUCAAGGCUCUUGGGAGAGAAUCGUGAAUAUUCAAGACAGCUCUUAGAGGAUUUGCAGUUUAAAAGUGCCAUAAUUAUGAAAUAAGUGUGCAUAAUGAGUGAUUGA